UGUUGGCUUACGUGGAUAAUU
rnacentral:piRNA from 1 species